GACGAACGCUGGCGGCGUGCCUAAUACAUGCAAGUAGAACGCUGAAGGAGGAGCUUGCUCUUCUGGAUGAGUUGCGAACGGGUGAGUAACGCGUAGGUAACCUGCCUGGUAGCGGGGGAUAACUAUUGGAAACGAUAGCUAAUACCGCAUAACAGUAGAUGUUGCAUGACAUUUGCUUAAAAGGUGCAAUUGCAUCACUACCAGAUGGACCCGCGUUGUAUUAGCUAGUUGGUGGGGUAACGGCUCACCAAGGCGACGAUACAUAGCCGACCUGAGAGGGGGAUCGGCCACACUGGGACUGAGACACGGCCCAGACUCCUACGGGAGGCAGCAGUAGGGAAUCUUCGGCAAUGGACGGAAGUCUGACCGAGCAACGCCGCGUGAGUGAAGAAGGGUUUCGGAUCGUAAAGCUCUGUUGUAAGAGAAGAACGAGUGUGAGAGUGGAAAGUUCACACUGUGACGGUAUCUUACCAGAAAGGGACGGCUAACUACGUG
rnacentral:rRNA from 1 species